AACGCACCUUGCGCUCCUUGGCAUUCCGAGGAGCAUGCCUGUUUGAGUGUCAUUAAAUCAUCAACCAUCUCAUCUUUGAGAGGGUUGGACUUGGAGGUUCUGCUGGCCCUCUCCGGGACCGGCUCCUCUGAAAAGCAUUAGCAGGGGGGCUCUUGUGCGAUCUGCAGCCUUGUGUGAUAGCUAUUUACACUCGGCGUGGUCACAUUCACCCAGCUUACAGCCGUCUCCGGACAACCUUUUGACCACUUGACCUCAAAUCAGGUAGGACUACCCGCUGAACUUAA
rnacentral:misc_RNA from 1 species